UACGAAGGGGGCUAGCGUUGCUCGGAAUCACUGGGCGUAAAGGGUGCGUAGGCGGGUCUUUUAAGUCGGAUGUGAAAGCCCUCGGCUCAACUGAGGAAGUGCACCCGAAACUGGCGAGCUUGAGUACGAAAGAGGAUCGCGGAAUUCCCGGUGUAGAGGUGAAAUUCGUAGAUAUCGGGAGGAACACCGGUGGCGAAGGCGGCGAUCUGGGUCGAUACUGACGCUGAGGUGCGAAAGCGUGGGGAGCAAACAGG
rnacentral:rRNA from 1 species